rnacentral:rRNA from 1 species
GACGAACGCUGGCGGCAUGCUUAACACAUGCAAGUGGUGCGACGAACCUUUUAGGGGCAAAGCCGCGAACGGGUGAGUAACACGUGGGCAAUCUGCCCAGUAGACCGGAAUAACUCAAGGAAACCUGAGCUAAUACCGGAUGUGCCGUACUUCCAUAAGGAGGUCCGGUAAAGAGAGCUUCGGCUAUUCGCUAUUGGAGGAGCCUGCGGGGCAUUAGGUAGUUGGUGGGGUAAAGGCCUACCAAGCCGACGAUGCCUAGCUGGUCUGAGAGGACGAUCAGCCACACUGGAACUAAGACACGGUCCAGACUCCUACGGGAGGCAGCAGUGGGAAUCUUGCACAAUGGGCGACAGCCUGAUGCAGCAAUGCCGCGUGAGGGAAGACGGCCUUCGGGUUGUAAACCUCUUUCAGUUGGGAUGAAGGUUGGACGGUGAAUAGCCGCGCCAACUGACCGUACCUUCAGAAGAAGCUCCGGCUAACUACGUGCCAGCCGCCGCCGUAA